CCCCCAAUGUUUUCCCUUAGGUUAUCUUUUGAAAUCUUUGAGUCUGAUUCUGUUUUGUCAGGAAGUUUUUCUGUACCAUUCUUUACUAGACUCCACAUAUUAGUGAUCUCAUAUGAUAUUUGUCUUUCUCUUACUUUGCUUAGUAUGAUAAUUUCUAGGUCCAUCCAUGUUGCUGCAAAUGGCAUUAUUUCAUUCUUUUCUAUAGCUGAGUAAUAUUCCAUUGUAUAUAUGUACCACAUCUUUAUCCAGUCCUCUAUUGAUAGGCAUUUAGGUUGCUUCCAUGUCUUGGCUAUUGUAAAUAGUGCUACAGUGAACACUGGGGUGCAUAUAUCUUUUCAAAUUAUGGUUUUCUCCAGCUAGAAGCCCAAGAAUGGGAUUGCUGGAUCAUAAGUUACUUCUAUAUUUAGUUUUUUAAGGAACCUCCAUACUAUUCUUAACAGCAGUUGUAUCAGCUUACAUUCCUACCAACAAUGUAAAAGCAUUCCCUUUUCUCCACACCCUCUUCAUCUUUUACUCUUUGUAGACUUUUUGAUGGCCAUUUUGACUGGUCUGAAGUGAGACCUCAUUGUAGUUUUGAUUUGCAUUCCUAUAAUACUUAAUGAUGUUGAGCAUCUUUUCAUGUACUUUUUCACCAUUUGUCUUCUUUGGAGAAAUAUCUGUUUAGAUCUUCAGAACACUUUUUGAUUGGGUUAUUUCUUUAAGUUGCAUGAGCUGUUUGUAUAUUUUGGAGAUUAAUCUAUUGUCAGUCACUUGUUUGCAAAGAUUUUUCUCUCAUUCUGUGAAUUGUCUUUCUUUUGUUUGUGGUUUCCUUUGCUGUUCAAAAGCUUGUAAGUUUAAUUAGGUCCCAUUUGUUUAUUUUAGUUUUUAUUUUCAAUACUCUGGGAGGUAAUGAAAAAAGAUAUUGCUGGAAGUUCCCCUAUAGUGCAGCAGGUUAAGGAUCUGGCAUAGCUGUGGCACAGGUUCAAUUCCUGGCCCAGGAACUUCCACAUGCCAGGCGUGUGGCCAAAAAGAAGAAAACAAAAAUGAAAAGAUAUUGCUGUGAUUUAUGUCAAAGAGUAUUCUGCCUAUGUUUUCCUCUAAGUUUUAUAUUAUCCAGGCCUACUAUAAAAUGGUCUUUAAUACAUUUUGAAUUAUUUUUGUGUAAGGUCUAAGAGAAUGUUCUAAUUUCAUUCUUUCAUAUGUACCUGUCCAGUUUUCUCAGCAGAAUUUAUUGAAGAGACUGUCUUUUCUACAUUGUAUAGUCUUACCUCCUUUGUCAUAUAUUAACUGACCAUAUGUGCAUGGGUUUAUCUAUGGGCUUUCUAUCCUGUUCCAUUCAUCUGUAUUUCUACUUUUGUGCCAGUGCCAUACUGUUUAUGACCAUACCUUUGCAGUAUAGUCUUAAGACAGGGACCCUGAUUCCUGCAGCUCCAUUUUUCUUUCUCAAUAUUGCUUUGGUUACUCAAGAGUCUUUUGUGUUUCCACAUAAAUUUAAAUUAUUUUUGUUCUAGUUCUGUGAAAAAUGCCAUUGAUGAUUUGAAAGGGAUUGCACUGAAUCUGUAGAUUGCCUUGGGUAGUGUAGUCACUUUGACAAUAUUGAUUCUUCCAAUCCUAGAGCAUCUCCAUCCCAUCUUUUUUCUUUUCUCAGCUUCUACCACUCCACCCCAUAUCUCUAUCAGCAAAAGUAACUCAGCAAAUCUAAAUGUAUCUUAUAGGCAUGCUUAGAGGAGGCUGAGAAUGGAAGAAAAACAGGAAUAUUGAAAAAAGUCAUACUUUAAUAUUUUGGGUCUUACCACAUGAAUGGGAGCACUUGCACAUCAGAGUUCUGGCUUUUCAUUAACUGGAAAUUAUGUAGUCUGGAAAGUAAUUUUAAAAUGGUUGAAGAUGACCCUUUUCUACCACUUUAGAUGAAGAAUAGUAUUUCAAUUUAAAAGAAAUUAAUAUUUUAAGAAUCAAAAACUAUUAUCAACUCACAAUUGGUGUAUAUGUCUUUAAAUAUCAAAGAGAUUAGAAGGAGAUGUAAUCACUUCUUUUAGUAUCAUCACCUCAACUUUUCAAAGCUCAAAUGCCAAUAAGUAGAAAAAAAAUUCAUUCACCUUCAGUCCAAAAAUAUUAUAAUGCUUUUUAUAUGAAGACUCCAAAAGGUAGAGGAGCAUAGUGGGUCAAGUUGAUGGUAUUCUUCCAUUAAAACACCAGGCACUGAAGUCAUCCAACUUUUGGUUUUUAUGAUCGUUUUCAAUAGGUUUUCAGUAUUUAUAAUGAUGUCUAAUAAAAACUGUGUAAACUUUCUUUAGUUCAAUUUUUAAAAUAUCUGUCUUCUACAUGCAUAAAAUUUUAUGACAAAGAUGAAUUUGACUGUAUUUUCGUUACCUUCACGUAACUCUUAAGCCUAAAACCUAGAUAUUAGAGUCAGUUUGCUACAUUUGCUCUGACUGCCGCGUCAUUAAGGGUUUGUUCUUUCCAUAGAACAAAACUACGUUGAAUAAAUAAAACCUUGUCAAUGUGAAUUAGAUUUGCAAACCCUAUGGAAAGAAAUAUUUUGGACCUCAAAUUUUCAUAGAACAUGCCACGUUUCCUCUGGCAGAAUGGAGCACACUUGCUGGAAUCUCUAAGACAAUCUUUCUCAUUAACAGUUGCUCCUCCUCAAGAGUCACAGAUUUAUGCUGUUCAGUGGCAAACUUUUCAGUUCAAGUGCAGACUCACUAAUUCAAAGAUGCCUCCAGUUAGAAAACAUCAGCCAUUUUUCAAACACAAUUCUAGUGUAAUAUUGUGCCCAAACCAAUUCACUGGUUUUAGUAAAAAUAUAAUAAGUAUAUACUUGCAAUAGUUGCAUAAAAUUCCUUCAAACAUGAUACAUUUAACAAAGGAAAGAAAUGAUUACUCAUGACCAGAUCCUACAUAUAACUAGAUGAAAUAAAGGAAAAGAAAAAUCUUACAUUGCAACAGAAUAAAUACUAUAUCUUUCUCCUACUGUUCCCUUAAAAAGCCAAGUAUUAGACAAGUGUUUCAAAGAUUUCUUAAGAUAAAAUGUAUUUUUCAUGUUUAAAGAGAAUGUGACAUGACACACAUAUCUCCUGGGGGAAAAGGCCAACAGAUCCAGAAAAUGGAGGUCCUAAAAAUGUAGUUUUUCUUCUAAUAAUUAGAUUCAAUUUCAAAUUAAUGAUAGAUUUAUAUAAAAUGUAUAAAAAUGGAGGUUUACAUAUCAACUGAGAGACAGGUUCUUUGCUCUUAAUUCAAGAGAUCUUUGGUUGGCUUCUUCGGGAUUUUAGAAUAGAUUUGAAAGUCCAUUUUAGUUUAUCAGUAUUGAUUCAAAAAUACUGUAUUUAAAAGUGAAACGAAAAAUUUAAACAAAACUUUUCAAUUACUAUGGGUAGCAAAACACUACUUAAAAAUAUAAACAUCUUUCAGAAAAGAAUCUGGAAAAUUCAAAGUAUUGUGUUGUGUAUCUUUUAAUGUUACCAAGUCACCUCCAUUUUAUUAUAUUUUUGCACUUUUCCAUUGAAAGCAAAGUUUCUUUCUAAACAAAACAAAGAAGGUUCUUACUUGCAUUUCCACAUUGGUUUUAGAAUACUAAAUCUUUAUGUUAUUAAGGGAAUUUCAAUUUGCUUCAUUUAAAGGAGAAAAUCUCAAAGAAGAAUUACACUACUUUUAAGACCUAAUUCAUCCUUAAGAAUAAUAAAGACAUUAAAGGAAAAUUACCUAACAGAUGAAGACGAAGGCUUUUAGAUGUAAUAUAAAGAUGUGCUUUCUACUUUCAAUUAGAAAAUAAAGUAAUUUAACAAC
rnacentral:lncRNA from 1 species